rnacentral:lncRNA from 1 species
UGCCGAUUUUGGUCCUUUCCUUUGAAGGUGACUCAUGGCACUGCAUCCUCUAAGGAGGUAUCGCCCACGUGUUCCGGUUAAGUCUUCUACCCUAUAGCGGAUUUUUCAUCAUCAAUUGUUCAACUAGGCUCAUCCAAGCUCAGUGUGAUGUCUUAGAAUUGUCUGAAAUUAAGGAGAUAGUGGUUUUAAGUGUGCCUCGCACUACCGACCCUCCACGGACAUGCCUGGUCAUACUGACUUGGAGUUACCGAAAGCUUUUGAUUUUGGAUCCCCCUACGCUAUUAAACCAAUUUCCGUCUUGCAAAAGACGUUGAAGACUUAUCAAAGCUGGAAAAUUAUCAUCAUAAUCGGAUCCUCUAGGUCCUCUGAGUUAGUUUAUGUUCAUGUUAGGGAGCUUUUGCUAACUAGUCAUGGAGUUUACGACCUUAGAAUGACCGAAAGGACUUGGUUUUGAUCAUACACACGUCACUUUUGGCUAAGCCUACACGCCACCUGCAAGCUUCACAGCUUCGCACAUGUCAAAUCUGCGAAAAACAGCAAUCUGUCCCUUCUGGACAGUCAACUUCGUUUGAGCUUUGUGAACAGCUCCGGACGAACCAGACAGUGAGCUUUAUAUCAUUGGAAAGCUCUAUGAGUCUAGUUUUCAGAAAUUUUAACGGUUCGUCCAUAUCUAUUUUAACGAAGAAGUUAUGGCUGUUUUAGUGCGAAAAGGUCAUUCUGCGCGGAAAUUUUUAUGCACUCUCGGGAUUGCAGCUUUUUGUAGCUUCUUUCAAUCCUUCUAAAUGGUUCAAGUAGAACUAUUUACUCGCCUAUCUACUCCUUGUAGUUAUGUCUCAUAGAGACAUUGAGUGCUUCGCAGAUAGUGGAACUAUCCACAACAUUCUAAGGAACCAUGUUGAGCUUUAAAGACAUUCAUGCUAAUGGUUUUCAUUUGAAAACACAUUGUGAGAAUGAACAAGAAUUCUUUUGUGUAUACCUUCUCAUGAAUGCGGACUGAAGCGCAUCUUGAAGAAAUUCA